UACGAAGGGGGCUAGCGUUGCUCGGAAUGACUGGGCGUAAAGGGCGCGUAGGCGGUUUGUUUCGUUAGGCGUGAAAUUCCUGGGCUCAACCUGGGGACUGCGCUUAAUACAGGCAGACUUGAGUGUGGAAGAGGGUCGUGGAAUUCCCAGUGUAGAGGUGAAAUUCGUAGAUAUUGGGAAGAACACCGGUGGCGAAGGCGGCGACCUGGUCCAUUACUGACGCUGAGGCGCGAAAGCGUGGGGAGCAAACAGG
rnacentral:rRNA from 1 species